rnacentral:tRNA from 1 species
GCUGUGGCUCAGUGGCAGAGCAUCUGCUUUGCAUGUGGGAGGUCUCAGGUUCAAUGCCCAGUAUCUCCA